GUGGGGAAUCUUCCGCAAUGGACGAAAGUCUGACGGAGCAACGCCGCGUGAGUGAAGAAGGUUUUCGGAUCGUAAAGCUCUUUCGUUAGGGACGAACGUGCUCUUUGUGAAUAAUGAGGAGUAAUGACGGUACCUAAAUAAGAAGCCACGGCUAACUACGUGCCAGCAGCCGCGGUAAUACGUAGGUGGCAAGCGUUGUCCGGAAUUAUUGGGCGUAAAGCGCGCGCAGGCGGGAUAUCAAGUCUGUCUUAAAAGUGCGAGGCUCAACCUCGUGAGGGGACAGAAACUGGUAUUCUUGAGUGUCGGAGAGGAAAGUGGAAUUCCAAGUGUAGCGGUGAAAUGCGUAGAGAUUUGGAAGAACACCAGUGGCGAAGGCGACUUUCUGGACGAUGUCUGACGCUGAGGCGCGAAAGCCAGGGGAGCAAACGGGAUUAGAAACCCUGGUAGUCC
rnacentral:rRNA from 1 species